rnacentral:rRNA from 1 species
UUAUACGCGCGAUCCCCUUAGAGUUGAUCCUGGCUCAGGAUGAACGCUGGCGGCGUGCCUUAAGCAUGCAAGUCGAACGGAGAUUGUGUCUAGCACAAAGUUAAUAAUCCGCUCUAUUUGUUAUGCGUCAGGUACAUGUCAGUUAAUUAUUGACUAUUUUUUGGCGUAUAACGAGUGGAGCGAACGAUUUAUUAAUUUCGUGCUAGGCAUGAAAUCAGUGGCGGACGGGUGAGUAUAAGCAAGGAACGUACCCUUUACUGUGGCAUAGCUCGUCGAAAGACGGGGUAAUAUCGCAUGACCCUUCACGGGGAAAGCGCUUAACCGCGCGGUAAAGGAGCGGCCUUGUUCCUAUCAGCUAGUUGGUGGGGUAAAGGCCUACCAAGGCUUUGACGGGUAGGGGGUGUGAGAGCAUGACCCCCCACAAUGGCACUGAGAAACGGGCCAUACAUCUACGGAUGGCAGCAACUGGGAAUCGUUGGCAAUGGGCGAAAGCCUGACCACGCGACGCCGCGUGAGGGAUGAAGUAUUUCGGUAUGUAAACCUCUUUUACGAAGAUAUCAUGUCUUCGAGAAUAAGCACCUACUAACUACGUGCCAGCAGUCGCGGUAAUACGUAGGGUGCAAGCGUUAUCCGGAUUUACUGGGCGUAAAGGGUCGUGUAGGUGGUUUUCCGCAUCGAACCUGAAAGCCCGAGGCUUAACCUCGGCGUUGGGUUCGAGAUGGGGAGACUUGAGGAAGACAGAGGUAAGGGGAACUCAUAGUGGAGCAGUGAAAUGCGUUGAUAUUAUGAGGAACACCAAAGGCGAAGGCACCUUACUGGGUCUUAUCUGACACUCAGACACGAAAGCUAGGGGAGCGAAGCAGAUUAGAUACCUGCGUAGUCCUAGCCCUAAACGCAUGUCUGCUAGAUGGUCUUUCGUAAGACGGACUGUCGUAAGCUAACGCGUUAAGCAGACCGCCUGGGGAGUACGAUCGCAAGAUUAAAACUCAAAGGAAUUGACGGGGACCCGCACAACCGGUGGAGCGUGUGGUUCAAUUCGAGACAAAGCGAAAGACCUUACCAGGUCUUGACAUCUUACCGUUUUAAGUCACCAGAAAUGGAGACCUAUCCGCAAGGAUGGUAGGACAGCAGCUGCAUGGCAGCCGUCAGCUCGUGCCGUGGGGUGUUCCUUUAAGUAGGAGAACGAGCGCAACCCGUAUCCGAUGUUACAAAUGUCAUCGGAGACUGCCCUGGCUUAUGUCAGGGAGGAAGGAACGGACGACGACAUGUCAGCACGGCGCUUAUGACCUGGGUCACACACACCCUACAAUGGCGAAUAACAAUGGGAAGCUAGGCCGCAAGGUCAUGCAAAUCCCCACUAAAUUUCGCCUCAGUUCAGAUUGGGGUCUGCAACCCGACCCCAUGAAGUCGGAAUCGGUAGUAAUCGCAGAUCAGCAGGCUGCGGUGAAUACGUUCUCGGGUCUUGUACACACCGCCCGUCAAGCCAACAAAGUUGGAGGCGGCCGAAGAGCCCCGCAAGGGGAGCUAAGCCGAAUUCAGCGAUGGGGACUAAGUCGUAACAAGGUAACC